rnacentral:rRNA from 1 species
AUGCACUGGUUUGCCUGGUGGAAGCUUUGUGUUCCAAAAGAGAUAGGAGGAAUGGGGUUUAGAGAUCCUCACUGUUUUAAUUUAGCUAUGUUAGCUAAACAAAUAUGGAGAUUAAUUGAGGCUCCGCACAGCUUAUGCACAAGAGUUUUGAGAAGUAAGUACUAUCCUGAUGGCAAGAUACUCAAUCCUAAACUUAAAUCAGGUUCAUCUUUUACUUGGCAGAGUAUAUUGUCAGGGCUCAAUACAUUUAAUAAGGGAGCGAUCUGGCGUGUCGGAGAUGGUCGGCAAAUUGAUAUUUGGGAGGAUGCAUGGCUACUGUAUAGUAAUAACAGAAGGAUUUUGACGCCCAAAGGUCACUGUUUGCUAAAACAUGUCCAUGAACUGAUUGAUCCUAGUUCAGGAGUACGGGAUGCUGACUUAAUUCGAUCCAUUUUUUGGGAUAUUGAUGCAAGACAAAUCCUAGCAAUUCCGUUGAGUUAG